rnacentral:misc_RNA from 1 species
GAAUCUGAAAUGAAGUUGGCUGAUGAGACAAUUGAGAUAAUUCUUGAUAAGACUUUCUUGGAAGCUGAUUCUGACAGUGAUGGUAAGAUAGACAAAUCCGAAUGGCAGAACUUCGUCUGUAAAAACCCAUCCUUGUUAAAGAUCAUGACACUACCCUAUCUAAGGGACAUCACAACGACAUUCCCUAGUUUCGUUUUCAACUCGGAGGUGGAUGAAACUGCUACCUGAAAGGCUGAAAUUUUCGAUCGCGCAAAUAGCUUAGGAUAUGACAAACAGUUGGUAUGAGCCACUGACUUCCCAUUUUCUUUUUUUUUUUUUGAAUAAUUUACAGAAGUCAAGAAGUGUGUUACUCAUAAGAUGGAAAGAUCCAUUGUGAGUAAAAGUUAGCUUGAGUUAACUGUUUUAACUGUAAAGCAUCAUUGUUCUAAUUGAUAUUCUGACCAUUUUUCAUGUUAAUAAUAGUAGUUUCAUAGUGAA